GGGAAUGUGGCUCAGUUGGAAGAGUGCUUGCCUUGAAUGCAUGAGGUCCUGGGUUCAAUUUCAGCCCCA
rnacentral:tRNA from 1 species